rnacentral:lncRNA from 1 species
GUUCAGGUAACCACUAUGUAGACAUCCUUUCAGUUCAUAUCUAUGCUUAUACUAGAAUCCCUUUAUAUGCAAUUCAUGUUUGAACAGAGACAGGAAAAUAUAUUCAUCUCUUAUAUCUCAUACUAAUCAGCAUAAGCAGCAAGACCAUAUUCUUUAUAUAGCUGAUAUUGUCUAGUGGCUGAUAUAUUAAGUAAUACAUAUUCUUUCCUUUUGUUUAAGAACCUUCUAGUAAUCAUAAGUGUCUGGAGGGUUUUCAUCUCAAGAAAUGACCAAAUACUUUUUCCUGCCACCAAUUGUUUCUCACCACCAUCAAACUUUUUUGAGGGCUUAAAAAGUAAACUUUUUCAUUUCAAUUUUUGUACAUCACAUGUUCUUCUUUUCAGUCAUAGGAUUUAUGUUCUAGAGUUUCAUAUAUUAUCAUUUCCUUGAUCACUCAAUGUGUGAGAAUAAAAUACUUCAUGCUUUUAAUUGCUUAAGUUAGAUUAACUUGCUAUGUUACAUAAAUCAUCUGUUCAUACAAAAGAUGACACUCAUGUCUCAUUUCAAUUAAUAGUAAAUUCAGUCAAAGAAUUGAUGUGAACUUGGACAAAAUCUGGGUUACCUUCCUUUAUCAUGAAGGUAUCCUCAGUGAAUGAUGACAAACACAAUACUCAACAAUUUGAUAUUAAUGGAGCUAGUACAUUAGUCAGAAAUGAUUUCACUUGCUGCAUUAGUAN